rnacentral:rRNA from 1 species
AUUCCAGCUCCAAUAGCGUAUAUUAAAGUUGUUGCGGUUAAAAAGCUCGUAGUUGGAUUUCUGCUGAGGAUGACCGGUCCGCCCUCCGGGUGAGUAUCUGGCUCAGCCUUGGCAUCUUCCUGAAGAACGUAACUGCACUUGACUGUGUGGUGCGGUAUUUAGGACAUUUACUUUGAGGAAAUUAGAGUGUUUCAAGCAAGCGCACGCCUUGAAUACAUUAGCAUGGAAUAAUAAGAUAGGACUAUGGUACUAUUUUGUUGGUUUGUGCACCAUGGUAAUGAUUAAUAGGGACAGUUGGGGGUAUUCGUAUUCCAUUGUCAGAGGUGAAAUUCUUGGAUUUAUGGGAGACGAACUACUGCGAAAGCAUUUACCAAGGAUGUUUUCAUUA